UAGAGUUUGAUCCUGGCUCAGGAUGAGCGCUGGCGGCGUGCCUAAUACAUGCAAGUCGAGCGGUAAGGCCUCUUCGGAGGUACACGAGCGGCGGACGGCUGAGUAACACGUAGGAACGUACCCCAAAGUGAGGGAUAACUGCUCGAAAGAGUAGCUAAUACCGCAUGUGAUCCACGGAUUAAAGCUUUAUGCGCUUUGGGAACGGCCUGCGUUCGAUUAGCUUGUUGGUAGUGUAAUGGACUACCAAGGCGACGAUCGAUAGCUGGUCUGAGAGGAUGAUCAGCCAGACUGGGACUGAGACACGGCCCAGACUCCUACGGGAGGCAGCAGUAGGGAAUUUUCCACAAUGGGCGAAAGCCUGAUGGAGCAACGCCGCGUGCAGGAUGAAUGCCUUAGGGUUGUAAACUGCUUUUAUUAGUGACGAUUAUGACGGUAACUAAUGAAUAAGGACCUGCUAACUACGUGCCAGCAGCCGCGGUCAUACGUAGGGUCCAAGCGUUAUCCGGAAUUACUGGGCGUAAAGAGUUGCGUAGGUGGCAUAGUAAGUAGAUAGUGAAAGCGUGUGGCUCAACCAUACAUCCAUUAUCUAAACUGCUAAGCUUGAAGAUGAGAGAGGUAGAUGGAAUUCCUGAUGUAGGGGUAAUAUCCGUAGAUAUUAGGAGGAACACCGAUGGCGUAGGCAGUCUACUGGCUCAUUCUUGACACUAAGGCACGAAAGCGUGGGGAGCAAACAGGAUUAGAUACCCUGGUAGUCCACGCCGUAACUAUUUAUGCUAGCUGUAAGCCGUAUCGACCCGGCUUGUAGCGAAGCUAACGCGUUAAGCAUCCCGCCUGUGGAGUACGGUCGCAAGACUAAAACAUAAAGGGAAUUGACGGGGGA
rnacentral:rRNA from 1 species